GGGUGCGAUCAUACCAAUUUUAAUGGAUCGGAUCCCAUCGAAACUCUGCAUUUUAGCGCGCUUGGGCUAGAGUAGUACUGGGAUGGGUGACCUCCCAGGAAGUCUUAGUGUUGCACCCU
rnacentral:rRNA from 1 species